rnacentral:rRNA from 1 species
AUACGGGGGGGGCAAGCGUUGUUCGGAAUUACUGGGCGUAAAGGGCGCGUAGGCGGCCUGGGAAGUCUUGGGUGAAAGCCCCCAGCUCAACUGGGGAAUGGCCUGAGAAACCACUGGGCUGGAGUGCUGGAGAGGGAAGCGGAAUUCCCGGUGGAGCGGUGAAAUGCGUAGAUAUCGGGAGGAACACCAGAGGCGAAGGCGGCUUCCUGGACAGACACUGACGCUGAGGCGCGAAAGCUAGGGGAGCAAACGGGAUUAGAAACCCCAGUAGUCC